rnacentral:rRNA from 1 species
UGGGGAAUAUUGCACAAUGGAGGGAACUCUGAUGCAGCGACGCCGCGUGAACGAAGAAGGCUUUCGAGUCGUAAAGUUCUUUUAUAUGGGAAGAUAAUGACGGUACCAUAAGAAAAAGCCCCGGCUAACUACGUGCCAGCAGCCGCGGUAAUACGUAGGGGGCUAGCGUUGUCCGGAAUCACUGGGCGUAAAGGGAGCGUAGACGGCUGUGCAAGUUGGAUGUGAAAUAUUGUGGCUCAACCACAAACGUGCAUCCAAAACUGCAAAGCUUGAGUUAAGGAGAGGUAAGUGGAAUUCCUGGUGUAGCGGUGGAAUGCGUAGAUAUCAGGAGGAAUACCGGUGGCGAAGGCGACUUACUGGACUUAAACUGACGCUCAGGCACGAAAGCGUGGGGAGCAAACAGG